CCUACGGGCGGCAGCAGUGGGGAAUAUUGCACAAUGGGGGAAAGCCUGAUCCAGCGACGCCGCGUGGGCGAAGAAGUAUUUCGGUAUGUAAAGCUCUAUUAGCAGGGAAGAAGAAAUGACGGUACCCGAGUAAGAAGCACCGGCUAAACACGUGCCCGCAGCCGCGGUAAUACGUAGGGUGCAAGCGUUAUCCGGGUUUACUGGGUGUAAAGGGGGCGCAGGGGGGACGGCAAGCCUGAUGUGAAAGCCCGGGGACCAACCGCGGGACUGCAUUGGAAACUUCCGGGCUGGAGUGCCGGAGAGGUAGGCGGAAUUCCUAGUGUAGCGGUGAAAUGCGUAGAUAUUAGGAGGAACACCAGUGGCGAAGGCGGCCUACUGGACGGUGACUGACGCUGAGGCUCGAAAGCGUGGGGAGCAAACAGGAUUAGAUACCCUUGUAGUC
rnacentral:rRNA from 1 species